GGCAGUGAACGAGGGAGGCAGAGAAUCUUUUUUUUGUUUUUUUUUCAAUCAAAACAUUUGUUACCAUUUUGUUUGUGACAAAACAAUUGGGUGACCUAAGGAGACUCAGAAUCUGAAGCAGGCUCCAGGCUCUGAGCUGUCAGCACAUAGCCCAACACAGAGUUCAAACUCACCCAUGGUGGGAUUAUGACCUGAGCUGAAGUGCAGUACAAGAAAAGUUUAUAACGCCAUAUUUUAAAUAAGUGUUCUAGAGCAAGGAAGAGAAGAAGAGAAGAAGGAGGAGCUACAGAGAAGGAAAAGGAGCAAAAGAGGGCAUGAAGGAAAGAGAAAGAAAAAUCCGUGAUAUGACAUUUUGUUCUGAUUUUCUAAAGCAGCAAGUGACAUCCAAUAUCUUCUAAAGAGAAUCAAAAAAAAAUCACCUCACCAUCACCUGUGGAAUUCCAUCAUAUAUGGCAUGAUUUCUUUCUUCCUUUUGUAGAGAAGAGCCCAAGAGAGAAUUCGUGCCACAGUGACCCUGCUGUGCCCUAUGUUUAUUCGGCAGUAAUCCUCGGGGAAAGGAUUUUGAAAAUGUAUUAGAGCUAGCACCGAGAACGAGUGUUAUUUUGAAGAAGUUACUGCUCCUUAACAUUCUAUUUUAAGUAGAUAUUAUAGGUGUGAUUCCUUUUAAAACAAAAGAAAAAAGGAGAGCUGUGUUUGAUUUUACAAAUGGAAGGUUUUGUUCCUGAUACCGAAUGACAUUAUUCAUUUACCUUGGCCCUGUCGGUGUUUGAUAGGGUUUUUUCCCCUCCUUUUCACUCAACAACAACAAUAAUAGUAUCAGAUCUCGGACUAAGAAUCUCACGAAACAGAAAAGGGGAUGUGAGCAUCCUAGAUCCAGCUUUAUGAAGCAAUGCCCACACACAUCUCACCCCCUUGGUUGAUAGAGAUGAUUAAGCUCCUCAAGCUUGAAUCUACAGGGAAGUUGUAACCAUGCAGUUCCCACAUGAACAAAUAUUGGCGCUUCCACCAAGAAUCCCCAAAACCAGUUACAAAGUGAAGAGCUCAGACCUACAAAAGUGUGGACCCAGAGGGCAGACGGGACCACAAGAAGACCAUUUUUGCAACCUUCUCAAGCCUGCGGGGUUCUCAAGAGUCUGGAAAGGUGUGAUUUUUCCAAAGAGGGCCAGGACGUCUAUCGUCUCGAAAAGUGUUCAACCGGCUCAGUUGCCCUUGUCCUAAGGGUCGGGAACCAGAAUUUGGCGAGCCGUCGGCCUGUGCGUGGGGACGCUAUCUACAAAACCCAUUGUGGAGCAAGUCCUGUAGCUCUCAUAGGCCCUGUCUGUAUUUCUUCAACGUAGGCUCUUGGAGAAUGACCUCUCUCCCCUAGAUUCCUUAUUUUUAACCUAUCUUUUUUUCCCAUGAUAGUAAGUGCCUUUCUCGUUUAAUUUUCCGUCUUUUCAUCUACACUCAGAGGACACCGAGGAAUGGAGACAGAGCCUCUCUAAGCAAAGAUAGGAGGCCAAAAACUGUUUCGCGUACGUUUUCCCCUGGAUUAAAUCCGCAUCCCAGGAACCGCCCCUGCGGAGACCCAGCAAAACCCAGCGGCAGAACCCAGCACUCAGGUGCAGAAAACGUCUGCGUCUGCCUCUGCGAUACUCUCCCCAGGACAGCAACGUGAAGAAGCCAGCGGUUAGAGGGUUGCCAGGUACAGAGCAAGAACACCGUUUCGCUUCGCCCUCCCCCUUCCACUCUUAGAGUGGCUGGAAACUUCGACAGGAGAGAAUUUCUCCCCCCUUUCCAACUGACAACAGCGGGCUCUGCUAUUGGGGGAAAGAAAAGAAAAGCAUUUUCUGGCGGUAUUCUUUUUUUUUUUUUUUUUUAAGUUCGAGCUUUAAUGUGAGCUUAGAUAUAAUGACACCUUCCCGAAUCAGUCAAUAAAUACCGCGGGAGCCGCCGCACCCUGCAAGUGGCCGCAGCAAAGUCCCCAACCUCUGCCCCAUCCGUGCGGCCGCUGCGCUCCAGGCCAGGGUGCUGGUGGCCAGCCUGCCUUCCCUUUCCGGGCUCCAACGUCUGGAGACAAAUCGAACCAAAUAAAAUUGGGGGACACGUCAACUUUGAAACGGCUUUAAAAUCUGUGACUCCCUCCUCUGUGUGUGCCCCACUGCCUGGCGGAUAUAAAUUGUCAUACUCCAGUAUCUCCACCGAGUAAAACAGCAUCUCAAAAUA